UGCGUAGGCGGACUAAUAAGUCAGGGGUGAAAUACCACAGCUCAACUGUGGAACUGCCUUUGAUACUGUUAGUCUUGAAUUAUAUGGAAGUAGAUAGAAUGUGUAGUGUAGCGGUGAAAUGCUUAGAGAUUACACAGAAUACCGAUUGCGAAGGCAGUCUACUACGUAUAUAUUGACGCUAAUGGACGAAAGCGUGGGGAGCGAACAGGAUUAGAUACCCUGGUAGUCC
rnacentral:rRNA from 1 species